UACGAAGGGGGCUAGCGUUGCUCGGAAUCACUGGGCGUAAAGGGUGCGUAGGCGGGUCUUUAAGUCAGGGGGUGAAAUCCUGGAGCUCAACUCCAGAACUGCCUUUGAUACUGAAGAUCUUGAGUUCGGGAGAGGUGAGUGGAACUGCGAGUGUAGAGGUGAAAAUUCGUAGAUAUUCGCAAGAACACCAGUGGCGAAGGCGGCUCACUGGCCCGAUACUGACGCUGAGGCACGAAAGCGUGGGG
rnacentral:rRNA from 1 species